rnacentral:rRNA from 1 species
UACGGAGGGGCUAGCGUUGUUCGGAAUUACUGGGCGUAAAGCGCGCGUAGGCGGCUUUGUAAGUUCGUUGUGAAGCCCGGGGCUUAACCCCGGAAUUGCACCUCAAACUACAUGGCUAGAGCAUUGGAGAAGGGUAGCGGAAAUUCACGGUGUAGCAGUGAAAUGCGUAGAUAUCGUGAGGAACACCAGAGGCGAAGGCGGCUACCUGGACAAUUGCUGACACUCAGGCACGGAAAGCGUGGGGAGCAAAAGGG